rnacentral:rRNA from 1 species
UUACACAUGCAAAACUCCCUAAGCCAGUGUCAAAUCCCCCAAAAUUCUACAGAAUUUGAAGGAGAGGACAUCAAGUUCAUUCUAAUAGCUAAAGACGUCUUGCCUAGCCACACCCCCACGGGACCCAGCAGUGAUAAAAAUUAAGCAAUGAACGAAAGUUUGACUAAGUUAUACCUCCAAGGGUUGGUAAAUCUCGUGCCAGCCACCGCCGGUCAUACGAUUAACCCCAAAAUUAACUAUCACCCGGCGUAAAACGUGUCCCUAGAGUACCCCCAAUAGAAUUAAAAUUCAACCAAUAUGUGAAAAUUCAUCGUUGAAGUUAAAAUCAGAAACGAAAGUUAUUCUAGUAGACUUAAUACACGAUAGCUAAGAUCCAAACUGGGAUUAGAUACCCCACUAUGCUUAGCCCUAAACCACAAUAACUUAAAAACAAAGUUAUUUGCCUGAGAACUACUGGCCACCGCUUAAAACUCAAAGGACUUGGCGGUACUUUAUAUCCACCUAGAGGAGCCUGUUCUAUAAUCGAUAAACCCCGCUAUACCUCACCACUUCUUGCUAAUUCAGCCUAUAUACCGCCAUCUUCAGCAAACCUUUUAAAAAGAACCAUAGUAAGCAAGAGAACAAUCAUAAAAACGUUAGGUCAAGGUGUAGCCUAUGAAGUGGGAAGCAAUGGGCUACAUUUUCUCCACAAGAACAUUAACGACACCCUCUAUGAAACUAGAGGACAAAGGAGGAUUUAGUAGUAAAUUAAGAA